AGCGAACGCUGGCGGCAGGCCUAACACAUGCAAGUCGAACGGACCUUUCGGGGUUAGUGGCGGACGGGUGAGUAACACGUGGGAACGUGCCUUUAGGUUCGGAAUAAGCUCGGGAAACUGGGUCUAAUACCGAAUGUGCCCUUCGGGGGAAAGAUUUAUCGCCUUUAGAGCGGCCCGCGUCUGAUUAGCUAGUUGGUGGUGUAAUGGACCCCCAAGGCGACGAUCAGUAGCUGGUCUGAGAGGAUGACCAGCCACAUUGGGACUGAGACACGGCCCAAACUCCUACGGGAGGCAGCAGUGGGGAAUCUUGCGCAAUGGGCGAAAGCCUGACGCAGCCAUGCCGCGUGUAUGAUGAAGGUCUUAGGAUUGUAAAAUACUUUCACCGGUGAAGAUAAUGACUGUAGCCGGAGAAGAAGCCCCGGCUAACUUCGUGCCAGCCGCCGCAGUAAGAC
rnacentral:rRNA from 1 species